rnacentral:rRNA from 1 species
UAUGUAGGGUGCGAGCGUUAAUCGGAAUUACUGGGCGUAAAGCGUGCGUAGGCGGUUCUCCAAGUCCGUUGUGAAAGCCCCGGGCUCAACCUGGGAAUGGCAGUGGAAACUAGGGGACUGGAAUCUGGCAGAGGGGGGUGGAAUGCCGCGUGUAGCAGUGAAAUGCGUAGAGAUGUGGAGGAACACCGAUGGCGAAGGCAGCCCCCUGGGCCAAUACUGACGCUCAUGCACGAAAGCGUGGGGAGCAAACAGG